rnacentral:rRNA from 1 species
UGGGGAAUCUUGCGCAAUGGGCGAAAGCCUGACGCAGCGACGCCGCGUGAGGGAAGAAGGCCUUCGGGUUGUAAACCUCUUUCAGGAGGGACGAAGCCACUCGGGUUAAUAGCCCAGAGGGUGACGGUACCUCCAGAAGAAGCCCCGGCUAACUACGUGCCAGCAGCCGCGGUAAUACGUAGGGGGCAAGCGUUGUCCGGAUUUAUUGGGCGUAAAGAGCGUGUAGGCGGCUUCACAGGUCCGCUGUGAAAACUCGAGGCUCAACCUCGAGCUGUCGGUGGAAACCGUGUGGCUAGAGUCCGGAAGAGGAGAGUGGAAUUCCCGGUGUAGCGGUGAAAUGCGCAGAUAUCGGGAAGAACACCCGUGGCGAAGGCGGCUCUCUGGGACGGUACUGACGCUGAGACGCGAAAGCGUGGGGAGCGAACAGGAUUAGAUACCCCCGUAGUCC